rnacentral:lncRNA from 1 species
AAAAUAUCUCGCACUAAAAUCCCACGCGAAAUCCCUCAAAACACCAGAUCGACGAAAAUCUCAAAUCUUGCUUCAAAAACAUUCAAAUCUGAAUUAAAAUCAGCAGAAAAUUCAGAAAGGAUGGGAUUGAUUAAGAGCUGCUUUUCGUUCAUGAUGGGCACAGCCUUCGGAGUUUACGUAGCCCAGAAUUACAACGUCCCCAAUGUCCAGAAGCUGUUCAACACUGGCCUCUUGAUCGCCAAGCACAUUGAAGAAAAUUACCGCAAGCCUAAAAAGCGCGACGUUGAUGAAUAGCACCACAAAAGAAGCCGCCUUCCACCCGUUAGUUGUUUUUAGUGUUUCGUUUUACAGGGAUUUAUGUGAAAGAAAAUUAAUGAAGGUCUUUUUUCUUUUUUUAAAUUUGAGAUUGGGAAUUCAAUAACUUGAUGAGCAUUUAUUGUGAAUUUUUAUUAAUAGUAUUAUUUAUUGGAUUAAUCGCGUACAUUUGAAUUUUUUGUUUUAUGAUUGUGCUGAUUAUUGAACAUGAGCAAUAAAUUGGUAGGCUAUGAUGUAUUUAUUAGAAUUUAAAUUUUUAUAACCUUUGUUAAUGUGUUAGGGAAGAAGAAUCUAUACUUGCUCCUCCAUAUUUGGAAAAGGGAUCAUUCGUAUUUUAGUUCAAUGGUUUCAGAGUGCUGGAAGAAUCGUGCUAACCUGGGUUGUAAUAUUUUUAGAAUAUGUAAGGACGGUAGUGUGAAGGCGAGAUUUAAUUUUGUAAAAAGGGGAUGGUGUCAACAUUUCUUGAUUCUCCUCAGGACAAUAUGUGCAGACAAGCUCAAUUAAAGAUGAGCCAUUUUUGAAGGCUAGUGGAGCCCUUUUCUGCACCUGCUAGUAUGAUUAGCUUUUUACAAUAUUGCUACACAAUUUUUAGAAGUUUGUUAAUCAUUUUUUCCCUAUGUAGUGUCGGCUUUACUGACAAAAUAUUGCUGGAAACUGUUGUAAUUGAUGCAGCAUAGUCAUUGUUAAUCUGAAUGCCUCUUACGACAAACCAAAGCAUGUCUUUCUGAUAUGAUAGUCAUGAAUUCGUGGAAUUUGUUCUUGAAAAGAUUUGACUACCUAGGAGCCUUGUGCAUUUGUUGAAUUUGACCCUAGAAAAAUAUUUGCCACCGAGAGUGAAAGUCAGUUGCUGUAUAUA